rnacentral:rRNA from 1 species
AUUGAACGCUGGCGGCAGGCCUAACACAUGCAAGUCGAGCGGAUGUGAAGAGCUUGCUCUUCGAUUCAGCGGCGGACGGGUGAGUAAUGCCUAGGAAUCUGCCUGGUAGUGGGGGACAACGUUUCGAAAGGAACGCUAAUACCGCAUACGUCCUACGGGAGAAAGCAGGGGACCUUCGGGCCUUGCGCUAUCAGAUGAGCCUAGGUCGGAUUAGCUAGUUGGUGAGGUAAUGGCUCACCAAGGCGACGAUCCGUAACUGGUCUGAGAGGAUGAUCAGUCACACUGGAACUGAGACACGGUCCAGACUCCUACGGGAGGCAGCAGUGGGGAAUAUUGGACAAUGGGCGAAAGCCUGAUCCAGCCAUGCCGCGUGUGUGAAGAAGGUCUUCGGAUUGUAAAGCACUUUAAGUUGGGAGGAAGGGCAGUAAGUUAAUACCUUGCUGUUUUGACGUUACCGACAGAAUAAGCACCGGCUAACUCUGUGCCAGCAGCCGCCGUAAUAC